GACGAACGCUGGCGGCGUGCUUAACACAUGCAAGUCGAACGGAAAGGCCCUGCUUUUGUGGGGUGCUCGAGUGGCGAACGGGUGAGUAACACGUGAGUAACCUGCCCUUGACUUUGGGAUAACUUCAGGAAACUGGGGCUAAUACCGGAUAGGAGCUCCUGCUGCAUGGUGGGGGUUGGAAAGUUUCGGCGGUUGGGGAUGGACUCGCGGCUUAUCAGCUUGUUGGUGGGGUAGUGGCUUACCAAGGCUUUGACGGGUAGCCGGCCUGAGAGGGUGACCGGCCACAUUGGGACUGGGGUGCGGCCCAGACUCCUACGGGAGGCAGCAGUGGGGAAUAUUGCACAAUGGGCGGAAGCCUGAUGCAGCAACGCCGCGUGCGGGAUGACGGCCUUCGGGUUGUAACCCGCUUUCGCCUGUGACGAAGCGUGAGUGACGGUAAUGGGUAAAGAAGCACCGGCUAACUACGUG
rnacentral:rRNA from 1 species